rnacentral:rRNA from 1 species
GAUGAACGCUAGCGGGAGGCUUAACACAUGCAAGUCGAGGGGCAUCGCGGUGCAGCAAUGCACUGGCGGCGACCGGCGUACGGGUGCGUAACGCGUAUGCAACCUGCCCCGCACCGGGGGAUAGCCCGCCGAAAGGCGGAUUAAUACCCCAUGGUCCCGGGGGCCCGCAUGGGCAUCCGGGUAAAGCCUUGGCGGUGCGGGAUGGGCAUGCGUGCCAUUAGCUGGCUGGUGGGGUAACGGCCCACCAGGGCAACGAUGGCUAGGGGGUCUGAGAGGAUGGUCCCCCACACUGGUACUGAGACACGGACCAGACUCCUACGGGAGGCAGCAGUGAGGAAUAUUGGUCAAUGGGCGGAAGCCUGAACCAGCCAUGCCGCGUGCGGGAUGAAGGCCCUACGGGUUGUAAACCGCUUUUCCCCGGGAAGAAUAACCCCGAUGAGUCGGGUGAUGCCGGUACCGGGGGAAUAAGGAUCGGCUAACUCCGUG